AGAGUUUGAUCCUGGCUCAGAUUGAACGCUGGCGGCAUGCCUAACACAUGCAAGUCGAACGGUAACGGCAGAAACAAUCCUUCGGGUGCGUUUUUGGACGACGAGUGGCGGACGGGUGAGUAAUGCUUGGGAAUUUGCCUAGUAGUGGGGGACAACACGGGGAAACUCGUGCUAAUACCGCAUACGCCCUACGGGGGAAAGCGGGGGAUCUUCGGACCUCGCGCUAUUAGAUGAGCCCAAGUCGGAUUAGCUUGUUGGUGAGGUAAAGGCUCACCAAGGCCGCGAUCCGUAGCUGGUCUGAGAGGACGAUCAGCCACACUGGGACUGAGACACGGCCCAGACUCCUACGGGAGGCAGCAGUGGGGAAUAUUGCACAAUGGGCGCAAGCCUGAUGCAGCAAUGCCGCGUGUGUGAAGAAGGCCUGCGGGUUGUAAAGCACUUUCAGUAGAGAAGAAAAGCCUAGGGAUAAUACCUCUGGGUCUUGACGUUACCUACAGAAGAAGCUCCGCUAACU
rnacentral:rRNA from 1 species